UACGAAGGGGGCUAGCGUUGUUCGGAAUUACUGGGCGUAAAGCGCGCGCAGGCGGUCUUCCAAGUCAGUGGUGAAAGCCUGGAGCUCAACUCCAGAACUGCCAUUGAAACUGUUAGACUUGAGUACGAGAGAGGUGAGUGGAAUUCCCAGUGUAGAGGUGAAAUUCGUAGAUAUUGGGAAGAACACCAGUGGCGAAGGCGGCUCACUGGCUCGUAACUGACGCUCAGGCGCGACAGCGUGGGGAGCGAACGGG
rnacentral:rRNA from 1 species